rnacentral:rRNA from 1 species
UCAGCCCUUCGGGACUGAGUUUAGUGGCAAACGGGUGAGUAACGCGUGAGGAACCUGCCUUUCAGUGGGGGACAACAGUUGGAAACGACUGCUGAUACCGCAUAAUGCUUUUUGAUGGCAUCGUUGAAAAGCCAAAGAUUUAUUGCUGAAAGAUGGCCUCGCGUCUGAUUAGCCAGUUGGUGGGGUAACGGCUCACCAAGGCGACGAUCAGUAGCCGGUCUGAGAGGAUGAACGGCCACAUUGGGACUGAGAUACGGCCCAGACUCC